rnacentral:rRNA from 1 species
GAUGAACGCUGGCGGCGUGCCUAAUACAUGCAAGUCGAGCGAACGGACGAGAAGCUUGCUUUUCUGAUGUUAGCGGCGGACGGGUGAGUAACACGUGGAUAACCUACCUAUAAGACUGGGAUAACUUCGGGAAACCGGAGCUGAUACCGGAUAAUAUUUUGAACCGCAUGGUUCAAAAGUGAAAGACGGUCCUGCUGUCACUUAUACAUGGAUCCGCGCUGCAUUAGCUAGUUGGUAAGGUAACGGCUUACCAAGGCAACGAUGCAUAGCCGACCUGAGAGGGUGAUCCGCCACACUGGAACUGAGACACGGUCCAGACUCCUACGGGAGGCAGCAGUAGGGAAUCUUCCGCAAUGGGCGAAAGCCUGACGGAGCAACGCCGCGUGAGUGAUGAAGGUCUUCGGAUCGUAAAACUCUGUUAUUAGGGAAGAACAUAUGUGUAAGUAACUGUGCACAUCUUGACGGUACCUAAUCAGAAAGCCACGGCUAACUACGUG